GUCUAUGGCCAUGCCACCCUGAACAUGCCCGAUGCCGGCUAAUCUCGGAAGCUAAGCUGGGUCGGGCCUGGUUAGUACCUGGAUGGAAGACCAGGCCCUGUAGGCA
rnacentral:rRNA from 1 species